AUCUGAAAAAAAGCCAGGAACGUUUCAGAAGUGCUCUGGUUAACAUUAUAUUGCAGGAAGAUGUUACUGAAGAAGCCCUUAAUGAAUCCCAGUCUCCAAGAGCAGAUUCCUCUACAGCAAUAGAGAAGGAUAUUGUGAAAUACUACUAUUACAUUCGCCAUGGAAUUGAUACAGCAAAUGUAGCCCCACUGAAUGAAGCCUGGUU